UGCAGUCGAGCGGUAAGGCCCUUCGGGGUACACGAGCGGCGAACGGGUGAGUAACACGUGGGUGAUCUGCCCUGCACUUCGGGAUAAGCCUGGGAAACUGGGUCUAAUACCGGAUAUGACCUUCGGCUGCAUGGCUGAGGGUGGAAAGGUUUACUGGUGCAGGAUGGGCCCGCGGCCUAUCAGCUUGUUGGUGGGGUAAUGGCCUACCAAGGCGACGACGGGUAGCCGACCUGAGAGGGUGACCGGCCACACUGGGACUGAGACACGGCCCAGACUCCUACGGGAGGCAGCAGUGGGGAAUAUUGCACAAUGGGCGAAAGCCUGAUGCAGCGACGCCGCGUGAGGGAUGACGGCCUUCGGGUUGUAAACCUCUUUCAGCAGGGACGAAGCGAAAGUGACGGUACCUGCAGAAGAAGCACCGGCCAACUACGUGCCAGCAGCCGCGGUAAUACGUAGGGUGCAAGCGUUGUCCGGAAUUACUGGGCGUAAAGAGCUCGUAGGCGGUUUGUCGCGUCGUCUGUGAAAACUCGAGGCUCAACCUCGAGCUUGCAGGCGAUACGGGCAGACUUGAGUACUGCAGGGGAGACUGGAAUUCCUGGUGUAGCGGUGAAAUGCGCAGAUAUCAGGAGGAACACCGGUGGCGAAGGCGGGUCUCUGGGCAGUAACUGACGCUGAGGAGCGAAAGCGUGGGUAGCAAACAGGAUUAGAUACCCUGGUAGUCCACGCCGUAAACGGUGGGCGCUAGGUGUGGGUUUCCUUUCCACGGGAUCUCGUGCCGUAGCUAACGCAUUAAGCGCCCCCGCCUGGGGGAGUACGGCCGCAAGGCUAAAACUUCAAAGGAAUUGACGGGGGCCCGCCACAAGCGGCGGAGCAUUGUGGAUUAAUUCGAUGCAACCGCGAAGAACCUUACCUGGGUUUGACAUAUACCGGAAAGCCGUAGAGAUACGGCU
rnacentral:rRNA from 1 species